rnacentral:rRNA from 1 species
GUGGGGAAUUUUGGACAAUGGGGGGAACCCUGAUCCAGCCAUGCCGCGUGUGUGAAGAAGGCCUUUUGGUUGUAAAGCACUUUAAGCGAGGAGGAGGCUACCGAGAUUAAUACUCUUGGAUAGUGGACGUUACUCGCAGAAUAAGCACCGGCUAACUCUGUGCCAGCAGCCGCGGUAAUACAGAGGGUGCAAGCGUUAAUCGGAUUUACUGGGCGUAAAGCGCGCGUAGGUGGCCAAUUAAGUCAAAUGUGAAAUCCCCGAGCUUAACUUGGGAAUUGAAUACGAUACUGGUUGGCUAGGGUAUGGGAGAGGAUGGUAGAAUUCCAGGUGUAGCGGUGAAAUGCGUAGAGAUCUGGAGGAAUACCGAUGGCGAAGGCAGCCAUCUGGCCUAAUACUGACACUGAGGUGCGAAAGCAUGGGGAGCAAACAGGAUUAGAAACCCCGGUAGUCC